GGUGGGGGGUUCAGCCUCCUCACACACCAGGUCCCUCUCUUCCUUGGACAUCUCUUCUCUGCCCGGAAGCCUCUCCGGCGCGACACCAUGCCAUCUCCCUUCCCGCCUCAGGCUUGACAUCUAGUCAGAACUCCCCCGGCCCUGAUGGCUGACGCUGCAGUCUGCCCCAUGGAUCCCUCCAACCUAAGCCGCGGGACUCUGCAGAAUGAGUCCACUGGGGGACAAGCAGGGGGCUGCAAACGCCGGGAGGAAUCGCGUCCGCGUCCUUGAGCCCGCUCUCCCUCCAGCCCCAGCAGAGAACUCCGUCCCUCAUCUCCGCUUCCCUCCCACUGCCCGGCUUCACCGAGGCAGGCUCCCACAGCCCUCAGCCAGCUUCGGUCCCUUCUGUUUCCAUCCUCUCGGCCACGCACACUGCUCUCUGGACAAAGUCACACCGCCACCUCAGAUGACAGUCCGUAACCCCGAGCUAGCUCUCCCCUUUCCUCCAACCUGCUGCUCCUCGGCAGGCAGCAUCCAAGCGAACACCCGGUGCUUAUCCACCCUGGUCUGGGCCUCUCCACACCCGCUCAUUCUUGUCUUCACAGAGCAGUGAAUGAACACCAUCACUGGCCCAAUAAAUAAAUACUGAACCAA